AUAAAAAACAGAGGCGCGAAAACGAUGAGUCAUUAUCUGGAGGCUGACACCCGAAGAACGAUAAUAAAAGGCGAAUUCGCCGAAGGACAGCUGUGUUGGAAGUUGAUCCUGGGUCAUGGUUGAAUAAAUCAUGGACUGUCACGUUAGUGGAGUACUGUCUUAAUG
rnacentral:ncRNA from 2 species